AGACUCUAUCAAGCUUCUGAGAGGGAGGGACCUGGCUGCAGGGACCUAAGCAGAGUACCUAGAUUGGAGCAGGGCUGGGGAAGGGCCUGGGGAGCUGAAGCCAGGAAAGUCCCAAGCUGCAGCCUAGCAUUAGGCUCAACAGGUCUCUUUUCUCCCAGAAAGAUUAUUUGAUAUCCUGGGACCAACAUGGCUACAACUGCACUCUCUUCAGAGAGACAAGCCAGCAGACAUCCUCAAAUCGGGUGGGGAGGGAAUGGAGAUUUAACCUGGAGUCUAGAGAGGAAAGACUGCCUAGAAGAACGUGAAAACUAGAGGUGUACAGAUGCCAGAGCAAACCCAUCUGUACUCUUCUCAUAACUUCCUGAGGGCACAGGACAGAAAACCAGAGCAUGGAAGGGACUAGUUGUGAUCCCUACCAAAACUAUCCUGGAAGAGGUCAGUGAUAGUGAAGAUCUUGGCUUUCCUGUCUGAAAUUCUACCACUUGCCAAAAAAAACAAUCAAAGCCUGAAAAUGUGUAAAGUAUUCUUCUUAAGGGAAGGUAGGAGAGAAUUAAUGUUCUAUCCCAGCUCCUUUAUUCAGCCGCAGGACAAGCUUCGAUACACAUACUGUGCUUGAAGGGAGUGGAUGACUCAAUUUAAUUAGAAAAUAAUCAGCAAUGAGCUCAAUUGUGCUCCUUUCUGUGACUGACCCAAAUAGGAUGAGAGACUGUUACAUUCCAGUGAGAGAGCUUAGCUGUAGCUCAAGCUAUAGAACCUUGUUUUCUGCCCUGUAGGUCCUUGCUUCAAUUUCUGGUGAUGGGCAAAAUGGCAGCUAUCAUAUUUACAUGGAAAGUGGAAAAAAAUGUGAAAGAUACGAGAAGCAAAAUAUCUCCAGGCUGGAUUUCCUACAGUGUUAAAUAUAACUGCCUUG